UUCUGAUGUGUGAAAUGUGCUUUGGGGAGCAUCAAGAAGCAGGAGGGUUCGAAGGGGUGUGGGGCGAAGGAGGGGAGAGACAGGGGGGAGCGGGGGUUAGAGCGCGCUGCGGUGGUUUGGGAUCGGGGGUUUAGCGAGCGGCCCCUCUCCGGCCUUCCCGCCCUCCGGCCUCCGCCUGCGGCGAGCGGCCGCGGCUACCUCCACUUCGACACCUUGCUGUUCGCGCUCGCCCUCGAGGACCUCUCGGACCGCCUGGACAUGCGCUAGUAGUUCCGGUGCCUCUUCGACCUCGCGCGGAUGCAGGCGCUGGAGCAGAGGCGGCGGCUGAUGCUCCGGCUGACGGAGUUCGAGUAGAGGGUCAAAUUGAGGGAGAGGAGGAGGGAGCGGCCCCAGCAGUGGUAGGGCGCGAAGCACGUCCGGAUGGCGGAGCUGACGGGGCGGCGGGAGUUGGCGGAGCAGGUCAGGCCGCAGGGGCGGUGGUAGCUCGAGGCGCGGCGGUGGCGGAGGAGGAGGCGCGGCCGGCGGUGGCGCCGGAGGCGUAGGCGGUAGCGGGUCACGCAGGUCUCGAAGUAGUGGCGGUACCUGCGGCAGUUCGAGUUAUACGAGCGGUUGCUGGUCCAGGCGGGGGACGAGGUGCUGGAGAGGUGGAGGUACCCCUUCGAGCCAUGGCAGGACGGCGGGCUGAAGCUCCCCUUCCAGUUCCACUUGCUCACCGAGCGCUUCGACGUAUUCUACCCCCGGCCCCUGCUCGAAUGUCUAGUCGUCCGGUCUGUCGAGUUAAAACUAGACCUUAGUCGCAUAUCACGCAAAUACCGGAGCGAAGGGUGACGACCGGACACUUGUUCCUAGCCGAACCAAGACUCAACUAAGAAGAAAGACAAAACAGUACGAGAACAGAACGUUACCAUAUGUAUACACAUUAAACCGAGUUAGAUAUAGCAAACACAUGUUGUUACGGUUAGAAUACCUUUCAACGAGGGAUGUCUAGCUAACAAAGUAUGACAAAUAUCCCUGGGAACUAACAUAAGUCGCAUGUCACACAAAUACCGG
rnacentral:rRNA from 1 species